rnacentral:tRNA from 1 species
AAGUUUGAAGCGAAUCGCACUUAGUUUCGACCUAAUUUUUGAUGAUUCAAUCAUCCAAACUUU